UCUUUUCCAAGUAGAACUAGACUUAGGCUCGACAGGGACACGGUCGUGUACCACGCCCGUGUGGGGUGGCUUAGGCCGUGAUAAAGUUUGCUAAAUAGACACGGGCGUGUGGUCUACCCAUGUGAGGAAGUCCAGGUCGUGUUGAUUUCCCACGUUGACUCAUUUUCUCCGUUUUUCGCCUGUUUCUCGCUCUUUUUACUCUCCUAUGCUCACCUAAGUGUAAAACAUGAAAUUAAAGGAUUAG
rnacentral:lncRNA from 1 species